rnacentral:rRNA from 2 species
AAAUUGAAGAGUUUGAUCAUGGCUCAGAUUGAACGCUGGCGGCAGGCCUAACACAUGCAAGUCGAACGGUAACAGGAAGCAGCUUGCUGCUUCGCUGACGAGUGGCGGACGGGUGAGUAAUGUCUGGGAAACUGCCUGAUGGAGGGGGAUAACUACUGGAAACGGUGGCUAAUACCGCAUAACGUCGCAAGACCAAAGAGGGGGACCUUCGGGCCUCUUGCCAUCAGAUGUGCCCAGAUGGGAUUAGCUUGUUGGUGAGGUAACGGCUCACCAAGGCGACGAUCCCUAGCUGGUCUGAGAGGAUGACCAGCCACACUGGAACUGAGACACGGUCCAGACUCCUACGGGAGGCAGCAGUGGGGAAUAUUGCACAAUGGGCGCAAGCCUGAUGCAGCCAUGCCGCGUGUAUGAAGAAGGCCUUCGGGUUGUAAAGUACUUUCAGCGGGGAGGAAGGUGUUGUGGUUAAUAACCACAGCAAUUGACGUUACCCGCAG